ACGAACGCUGGCGGCGUGCCUAAUACAUGCAAGUAGAACGCUGAAGGAGGAGCUUGCUUCUCUGGAUGAGUUGCGAACGGGUGAGUAACGCGUAGGUAACCUGCCUGGUAGCGGGGGAUAACUAUUGGAAACGAUAGCUAAUACCGCAUAAGAGUAGAUGUUGCAUGACAUUUGCUUAAAAGGUGCAAUUGCAUCACUACCAGAUGGACCUGCGUUGUAUUAGCUAGUUGGUGGGGUAACGGCUCACCAAGGCGACGAUACAUAGCCGACCUGAGAGGGUGAUCGGCCACACUGGGACUGAGACACGGCCCAGACUCCUACGGGAGGCAGCAGUAGGGAAUCUUCGGCAAUAGACGGAAGUCUGACCGAGCAACGCCGCGUGAGUGAAGAAGGUUUUCGGAUCGUAAAGCUCUGUUGUAAGGGAAGAACGAGUGUGAGAGUGGAAAGUUCACACUGUGACGGUAUCUUACCAGAAAGGGACGGCUAACUACGUG
rnacentral:rRNA from 1 species